UUGAGUUGUUUCUUUCUCUCUCUUCUCACGCGCUCUCUCUCUUUCUCUUCUCACCAUCUAAUGUUGUUCACCAUGAACAACAAGAACACCAUGCAUCUUCAUCCCCAUCCCCAGAUUCCGGCGAGCAACCACCACCGGAAAGUCUAAUCACUUCCAUCUCUUUUUUCCCUCAACCGUUCUUAAUAUCUCUCUGCCCUCACCAUCUCGUCCUUCACCACCGCAUCCACCACAACCUCCACCACCACCUACAAAUCAAUCUCCGAAUCAGAACGUCCUAUCCGCUUUUGGUGAUGCCGCCGUCAUCAGAAUCAAAUUAUUCUUCCUCUCAGGUAGUUGAAGUUUCAACUUCCAAAAAACUUGAAUUCUUCUCAUAACUGUGAUGUAUGAUUUUCAUUUUAAUAUGAGAUUAUCUUUUGGGUUUGGAUUAUAUUUUUAAUUAAUUGAUUAACUAAUGUGUGUUUCUUUGUUGUUACAACAGGUUCAUCGUGUCAAUGUGCUCAUGAACUUGCUUAAUCUUUCGUUUUUUUAGUUUUCUUUCAUAUACAGAUUUGAUGUUUUCCUGGAAAUCUAUACUUCAGCACUACUGCUUUUGUUUAUCAUUGUCUUCUCUUUGUAUGUAUUCAUUCUUUGGCACUUAUCUUUUAAUUGUUAAUGUUCACCGGGAGCCUGGAAAUUUUGUUAUUACUUUCCCCAUAUCUCCAUCCAAAAAUUACCAGCUUAAAUACAAUCUAAAGUAUAUCAUCUGUAUUCUUUGUGUUUUCAGGUCUGAAUUGUGCAGAGGUAGUCAAUUUUGCUCCAGCUGACUGGCUACCACACCGUUCAUUUGGAGCUGAUCUCUAUAAGCGAUUUCACAAAACAGCUGUCUUGUCUCAUGAGGAGCUUCUUUGUGUAGUAGCCCAGGUUUGCACUUGAUUUGAGUGUGUUACAUUUGUUGAAAUGAUAAUAUAUUGAUGAAAUUUAAAAAACUUAGAUGGUCUGUAGUAUGUAUGUAUUCAUUAUGAUCACUAAAAUGCGAUCUUGCUAUCGUUCUCUUUCUUUUGUCCAGCAUUUUGUGUAGUUUUUGUUUUCACCAUUUCAUUCUACAGUGCAGAAAACCUGGUACCAUUUUUAUGAUUUAUAAUUAUAAUGAAAUCAUACUAGCAAACUAGACUAAUGUUUUCCUAUUCUAUUUCUGUUGAUUUAGGUUAGAUUUAACAAGAAAGUAGGUUAUUUUGGACCUAAUUAUAUAUUUUUGAUGAUUCAAGGUUAUUAUGUUUUUGAGUUUGAUAAAAUAGUUUCUCCUGCAAAAUUGCACCCAAUCCAUUAUCCAAGGGUUAGAGAAGUGAGAUGGAGAGGAACUGGAUUGGUGGUCCAACAAUGAUACUAUUUUCUAAGGAUCCGAGACCGUAUCUUCACUUGGCGCCGGAAUUUGCUCACUACAAGGGAAAUCACACUUAUGUACCUGUGACAAGAAAAGGAUAUUGGCAGUUGGAUAUGGGAGAUGUAAUUAUUGAUGGUAAAUCCACCGGAUAUAUUGUGUUGAUGGUUGUGCGGCCAUUGCUGUAAUACUGGCUUCUUCAUAACCAACAUUCGUAUCUGCAUUGACACCUAAAUCAACAUCUCUAUAGUUCAAAUAUGAACUUCUUGGUGACUCUGACAUGUAAGGUGUCAUGUAAUCAUAGAGGUUUCGAAGCCGAUCUAAAUAUUGAUUCGCAACAUCAUUACCUUCCUCUUUCCAAUUUACCAGCUCUAUGCGGAAACGGUGUUUCCGCCUCAGAAAUCUCACUCAUUUUCCCACCAUAAGGAUUAAAUGCUCUAUGAAAGAGGCAGCUCAGUUUCAAUUUUUGGGUUCUCAAUUUUAGGUAAAAGAUGAUUUGUUGAGUAUGUACCAGAGAAGUUAGACCUAUAUGAAGGCAUGGAUGAAGAAUUUAAAAAAAUAUUUGAGAAGUUUAGUUUCAUUGAUGUCGCUGCUUCGGAGCUUACUAGACUGCUAGCGUGCGUUUUGAAGUGCUUUCUGCUAUUAAAAAGACUGUGAAACUUGAAGAAGUUGCUCCUGAGAUUAUUGCAGCUGCUAGAGAUGUCCAGAAAUAGACGGAAAUUUAUGCACCUUUUAACAUUCUUCCUUUGGAUUCUGCUGGGGCUUCUCAGCCUAUUGUGCAGCUUGAAGAGCGCAGAGCACACAACGAAGGGACAAUGACGACUCUACCAUAGAAUCUGACAUCAAAGUUCUGUCGUAGUAUCUGCUGGGCUUCUUAGGAGUUUUGGCUGCAACAUUGCUGAGCUUCCCCUGGUUGCUACAAGUAGAGAGCAUCAAGGAAAAGGUUAUUUUCAAGUGAUGUUCUCUUGCAUAGAGAGGUUGUUGUCUUCUCUAAAUGUAGAAAAGUUGGUGCUCCUUGCUGCAGGGGAUGCAUAUAAUUAGAUUAAGAAGUUGACACGGUGAAAAGGCAAAUGAUGAUAAAUAUGUAGUAGCAAAUAUAGCAAAUGGAAUGAAGUGAAGAUUAAAGAGAAGAGAUAGUUAUUAUAUAUGGAAAAAAGUGGUAGAAUAAAUGAGAUGAAUAAAACGGGUGGAAUCAAAGUUGCACCCCUUUGCUAGGGAAUCAAGCACUCUAUGCUCAUUCAACAUCCAGCCGUCGGAAGAUAUUCUAUCAAAGUCAGCAUCAUUAUAUGCUCUAGAAUUCCCACUAUUUAACUUUGGAACUAUCUUGCUUUUCUUUGUUUUUAAUCUUGUGUUGUAAUAUCUGUACCAAACUUGAAUUUUAUGCUUUUUGGAAUGCUUCAUCUUAAUGAUCCUAUUUUGCGCCUUA